rnacentral:rRNA from 1 species
CAGCCGCCGCGGUAAUACGUAGGGUGCGAGCGUUAAUCGGAAUUAUUGGGCGUAAAGCGUGCGCAGGCGGUUAUGUAAGACAGUUGUGAAAUCCCCGGGCUCAACCUGGGAACUGCAUCUGUGACUGCAUAGCUGGAGUACGGUAGAGGGGGAUGGAAUUCCGCGUGUAGCAGUGAAAUGUGUAGAUAUGCGGAGGAACACCGAUGGCGAAGGCAAUCCCCUGGACCUGUACUGACGCUCAUGCACGAAAGCGUGGGGAGCAAACAGGAUUAGAUACCCCUGUAGUCCCUGUCUCUUAUAA